CACUGACAACACCGUGUAGGUGUGCUGUCCCGGACGCGGAGCUGCCAUGGCAUACCAUGACGCCGCCGGGCGAUGGUACAGUACAGUGUCACACCGACGCAGAGCGCGCAGUUUCCCUCCCACUCUGCAAAAGAAGCAGCGUGCCCCGAGGCUGCUGCGUGCUCAAUCAUCAAGACACCACCUCGGAGAGGAGAAUCCGGUGCGCCGUUAGCGACCGUCAUCUUGCAACUCGCCUUACGCCGGACCACAGCUUGACCACAAACGGAAGAUCACCCAAAAAAGGCGAUUCAUUUCAACGCGCGCCAACGAGAAGCUGUGGCACGACUCUCACUGAAAUGCCGUUGUAAGGGCUCACUUUGAUUUCAAAGCGGCGAAGCAUUCAUCUCCAAGUUUGUAGUUCGGAUCGCAUGCGUCUGAUCCGCUGCCCAUUGUAGGACCGAGCAGCCGACACAGUGUCGGGACCCAGCCCGCCUAAACGCAGGCCGCCGUUGUAAACUGGCCGCCCUCCGCAGAACAAGG